AGUCUUUUACUUCAGCCGCCGCCCUCCAUUCUCAUUCUCUUAUCUAUUUCAAUCUGGUUGGCACACUGCACACCAACUUCUCAUCUUACGCUGCCCAACCCACGAGCCCUCUAUCAUCGCCCUAAUAUAUCCCUCAAGCUCUCUCUCAUCUCAACCUCGCUUCUACACAGACGACCCUCAAGCUUACCGCUUAGCUCGCUUCUCACAGUUGCGCUUGCGUACGUGCCACUGCAGAAAAAAGACAAGCUUCUAUUAUUGGAAGAAGACUUUGACUUAGAAGUCAGCUAUCAUCUGGACAAUUAUGUAAGGUGUUUAUAUUGAAAAUAAAGAUUUUAUUACAGAUUGUUUG